rnacentral:siRNA from 1 species
AUUAACUUCAUGUAUACAAUGUGU